UGAGUAACCUGCCCUUAACUCUGGGAUAAGCCUGGGAAACUGGGUCUAAUACCGGAUAUGACUCCUCAUCGCAUGGUGGGGGGUGGAAAGCUUUUUGNGGUUUUGGAUGGACUCGCGGCCUAUCAGCUUGUUGGUGAGGUAAUGGCUUACCAAGGCGACGACGGGUAGCCGGCCUGAGAGGGUGACCGGCCACACUGGGACUGAGACACGGCCCAGACUCCUACGGGAGCAG
rnacentral:rRNA from 1 species